UACGUAGGGACCAAGCGUUGUUCGGAUUUACUGGGCGUAAAGGGCGCGUAGGCGGCGCGGUAAGUCACUUGUGAAAUCUCUGAGCUUAACUCAGAACGGCCAAGUGAUACUGCAGUGCUAGAGUGCGUUCGGGGCAGAGGGAAUUCCUGGUGUAGCGGUGAAAUGCGUAGAGAUCAGAAAGAACACCGGUGGCGAAAGCGCUCUGCUAGGCCGCAACUGACACUCAUGGACGAAAGCUAGGGGAGCGAAUGGG
rnacentral:rRNA from 1 species